AUCAUCUCAUGGGGGUGCCCGGCCAUCCUGGACCGGGCUGAGAGGCGGCCUGCCAACUCCUUGAACCUGAUCCGGCUGAUACCGGCGGAGGGAUUUGAGAUCAUGAUGCAC
rnacentral:ncRNA from 2 species